rnacentral:rRNA from 1 species
UAGGGAAUAUUAGAAAUGGACGAAAGUCUGAUCUAGCAACACCGCGUGUGCGAAGAAGGCCUUCGGGUUGUAAAGCACUUUUUGAGAGGAUGAGGAAGGACGGUACUCUCAGAAUAAGUCUCGGCUAACUACGUGCCAGCAACCGCGGUAACACGUAGGAGGCAAACGUUAUCCGGAUUUACUGGGCGUAAAGCGCGUGUAGGUGGUUUGGUAAGUAGAGCGUGAAAGCUCCUGGCUCAACUGGGAGAGGUCGUUCUAAACUGCCGGACUAGAGGAUGGUAGAGGGAGGUGGAAUUCCAUGUGUAGCGGUGAAAUGCGUAGAUAUAUGGAGGAACACCAGUGGCGAAGGCGACUCUCUGGUCUGUAACUGACGCUGAGGCUCGAAAGCGUGGGGAGCAAACA